UACGGAGGGUGCGAGCGUUGUUCGGAAUUACUGGGCGUAAAGGGCGCGCAGGCGGCUCUGAAAGUCAGAUGUGAAAGCCCCGGGCUUAACCUGGGAAUUGCAUUUGAUACUCUGGAGCUUGAGUACGGGAGAGGAGAGUGGAAUUCCCAGUGUAGAGGUGAAAUUCGUAGAUAUUGGGAAGAACACCGGUGGCGAAGGCGGCUCUCUGGACCGUAACUGACGCUGAGGCGCGAAAGCGUGGGGAGCAAACAGG
rnacentral:rRNA from 1 species